rfam:Vigna angularis cultivar Jingnong 6 chromosome 1, whole genome shotgun sequence.
AAGACAAGAGAGAAGCAAAUAGCCAUGGAAACUUGCCAAUUUACCAAACAAGGAUCUCAAUAUCUUAUUAUGAAAAAUGAAAAAGUCCCUUAGAAUGGAAAAACUAGGCAAGUCAUCCUUGGCUAUUAACAUGACUCUUGUCU